rnacentral:rRNA from 1 species
AAAUUGAAGAGUUUGAUCAUGGCUCAGAUUGAACGCUGGCGGCAGGCCUAACACAUGCAAGUCGAACGGUAACAGGAAGCAGCUUGCUGCUUUGCUGACGAGUGGCGGACGGGUGAGUAAUGUCUGGGAAACUGCCCGAUGGAGGGGGAUAACUACUGGAAACGGUGGCUAAUACCGCAUAACGUCGCAAGACCAAAGAGGGGGACCUUCGGGCCUCUUGCCAUCAGAUGUGCCCAGAUGGGAUUAGCUUGUUGGUGAGGUAACGGCUCACCAAGGCGACGAUCCCUAGCUGGUCUGAGAGGAUGACCAGCCACACUGGAACUGAGACACGGUCCAGACUCCUACGGGAGGCAGCAGUGGGGAAUAUUGCACAAUGGGCGCAAGCCUGAUGCAGCCAUGCCGCGUGUAUGAAGAAGGCCUUCGGGUUGUAAAGUACUUUCAGCGGGGAGGAAGGUGUUGUGGUUAAUAACCGCAGCAAUUGACGUUACCC